UGGCCCUUGUCGUUCCUGUCCAAAAAGGGGUGAAUCCCAACAAACAUGGUCAGUAGCGAUGAGACUGAUUCCAGCGUUCAAUUUGGUGAAAUUCCCGGUAGCAGUGUCGAAAGAAAUGUCAGUGCCAACUGUGGCCUGGUGAUUUCCGGCCACACCAGAGAAGUUGACAGUCGGUUUAGCAGUAAACCCGAGGCUCGUGCUGAUUCCAGCAUACUCGUGUAGAUAUUGAAGCUCCACCUGUCAUCACAAGUUACCAACGACCCGGAAUAUAGUCCUGCAGUUCACUCUCAAACAACACAACAAAAUUGAAGCAGCACAGACCUUGCCGGACUUUUGAUCUGGAGCGACAAAGCUAAAGAUCGCCUUCACCCCUGGAGCAGGCUCGUCUACAGUGACAGUUGUGAACACCUGCAACAUUAAUAACGACAGAUAAAUGAUCUGCAUAAUCAAGGUUGUUUUAACCUGCAGUAGGACAGUUGAUCAUCUGUUUCUAGGCCUUCUUUUACACACCAAUGCUAUGAUUAGCUAUAACCAUUCAUCACCAAGAAAAAAAAAAUCAAAACAACUAACAUUGGAGCUGGUAUCCACUUUCA